GUGCUCACUUCAGAGGUACAUAUACUAAAAUUGGAACAAUACAGAAAAGAUUAACAUGACCUGCACCAAAGGGUGGCCAUGGAAAUUUGUGAAGUGUUCCAUAUUUUU